CUACUUGACUAGCUGAGAGGAGGUGCAUGGCCGUCGUCAGUUCGUACUGUGAAGCAUCCUGUUAAGUCAGGCAACGAGCGAGACCCACGCCAACAGUUGCCAGCUCGUCCUCCGGGAUGGUGGGGGACACUGUUGGGACCGCCUCUGCUAAAGAGGAGGAAGGAAUGGGCAACGGUAGGUCAGCAUGCCCCGAAUUAUCUGGGCUACACGCGGGCUACAAUGGGUGGGACAAUGGGUAUCGACACCGAAAGGUGAAGGCAAUCUCCUAAACCCAUCCUUAGUUCGGAUUGUGGGCUGCAACUCGCCCACAUGAAGCUGGAAUCUGUAGUAAUCGUGUUUCAAAAUAGCACGGUGAAUACGUCCCUGCUCCUU
rnacentral:rRNA from 1 species